AUGGCCCUGCAGGGCAGGAGCUCAGCCGUUCCCCAGGGCCACCCUGGGCUGAUGACCUUCCCUCAGGAUGAGCAGAGCCACAUCCAGAGCUUCACUGAGGGGGAGCCUGUCAUUCUUGGGGUAACCCAAAUCAUGAUCAGACUCAUGUAUAUUUGCCUGUGCAUGAUGCUAAAGAUUACACAUUCAGAUAUUUAUUUUCCAUUGGAAACUGAGGCUGUAGUGUUCUACUUGCAACUUUUGGGACCAAUCUGUUAUAUCCUGUCUGGAACUCCGUCCACUGUUUCUGGAAGGAAAAUGACAAAAAAUGUGCAGGGGAUCUCAGUUGUGAAGGUUGUCCUCACCGUGCUUGAGUUCUGCAUCGCUCUGAAUCUGUCUGCGUUUGGGUGCCAUGUUGUCUGCUGUGGUGGAACUUCAGUGGUCACUGACUUAUCCUCCAGUGAGCUUGGCGUCUCUGCACGUGCUCCGUAUGCUGACUAUGAUGAGGUGGCUUUCGUGCCCACUUGAUCUACUCGUUGUGCGGCGCAUGUCCUCUUCCUGUGCGUUUCCCACCGAUGAUUCCGUGUAUCAGUGUCCAGCGAUAAAGAGGAGUCAGUGUGUUCUCAGGAGAACACGUGUUUUUGAUGGGUUGAGGCUCACCUUGCUGUGGUCUUUUCCCCAGCUCUCGAUUGCCCUCGGUCUUGGCAAUGGAGCAGGCAGUUUAACUGCAUAGAACUGGCUCCAUCUCAUAGACUUUCAACACCUAUCAAGAAGCUUUUGUGCACAUUAAUUCUCUGGUCCCCCUUGAAGGGAAUGUGAAGACUAAUUAUACAUACGAUGUCUUGGAAAGCUUUUGCCAUUUUUACUGAAAGCCUUCCAGUCAUGCCACAUGACGCUUGUUAUAACUAUACACAGUGCAGUAAUUACAAUCGAGCAAUUAACAUCGCCAUCACCCACACAGUUGCCUUUGUUCCAUGGUAAGACCACCUGGAAAGUCUCUGCCAGCAAAUUCUUGUCUUUUACUCCCCUGCUGCUGUUAUGUCUCUGAACUAGGCACCUUGUAAAAUCACGCCUUUGUGCUUUUCUCCUACAUCUCCCCUGCACCUCCUGUGCCCUUAGUAACCACUGUCUCUUCCAUAGUGCUGUGAUCAUGGGGGUGUGCUACCAUGCAUGACUGAAAUUUUUUUCCAUUAGUUUUAAUUUUUUGGUACCAGGAGUCAAACUCACACUUCCCAGACAGGCACUGUGCUGCUGAGCCAUAUCCCCAGCCCUUUUUCCAUUAGUUUUAGACCCCUACUUACGGAUUUAUUUAAAAUAUUAAACAUAACACGUUCAAAAGGCACUACUACUACCCACACCACACGCCCCACAAUCGCCAAUGUUCAUCGAACUGUGAUGUUGGUUUUCUUCAUCAAAACUAAUGUUUGACUUUUAGCCCCAAAAUGAUUAUUGUGGAAAUAGGACAUGUGCUUGUAGAAGAUUUAGAUCCAUCUGAUACAUCCAACAGAAUGAAUACACAAUAUGUCAGUGGUAUUUUUCCUCCAAAAUUUCUUCCCUAAAAAGCAGCAAGCUGGCUUUCCAAGAUCAUAGAUUCUCUUCCAGACCCAUUCCACAGUGAACAAUGAACCUUUUCAGUCAUCACUGUUGAUGAACCUUUUCAUCCACUGUUCCCUUCUGCCAUGAUGUUUCUACCUUGGAGCAGCUGACCAUGGACUAAAUCCCCUGAAAUGGUGAGCCCAAUCACAUCUCUCCUUUAAGUUGUGUACUUUGGCUAUUAUGUCCCAGCACUGGUCCUAGCUAAUGCAGUCAGUGUAGGAACUUCACAAGAGAAGCUGGUUGUCAGGCUGUGCAAUUUAUUUUGACAAUUUGAAAUAAUCAAACCAUGUUUAGAUUUAGUCAUUAAACCCAUCUGACGUACAUUCACUCAAAUUAGAAGAUUCCAACUACAGAAAAGUCCAAAGAGUAUCCUGUGAUUGGAAAAAGGUAGAGUUGUUUCCUUCAUUCAUGAUAAUCUUCGGAGGA
ensembl:lincRNA membrane-spanning 4-domains subfamily A member 4A